rnacentral:rRNA from 1 species
UGACCGCUGGCGGCGUGCCUAAUACAUGCAAGUCGAGCGAACAGACGCGGAGCUUGCUCCUCUGACGUUAGCGGCGGACGGGUGAGUAACACGUGGAUAACCUACCUAUAAGACUGGGAUAACUUCGGGAAACCGGAGCUAAUACCGGAUAAUAUAUUGAACCGCAUGGUUCAAUAGUGAAAGACGGUUUUGCUGUCACUUAUAGAUGGAUCCGCGCCGCAUUAGCUAGUUGGUAAGGUAACGGCUUACCAAGGCAACGAUGCGUAGCCGACCUGAGAGGGUGAUCGGCCACACUGGAACUGAGACACGGUCCAGACCCCUACGGGAGGCAGCAGUAGGGAAUCUUCCGCAAUGGGCGAAAGCCUGACGGAGCAACGCCGCGUGAGUGAUGAAGGUCUUCGGAUCGUAAAACUCUGUUAUUAGGGAAGAACAAAUGUGUAAGUAACUAUGCACGUCUUGACGGUACCUAAUCAGAAAGCCACGGCUAACUACGUG